UGAACGGCUCUGCCUUGUCUUCCCCGCCAUGAUGGACUGAGUCUCUCCUAAUGAUGAACAAAAAUGAGCCUUUCCAACCUUGUUUCUGCCAGGCGUUCCUGACGUGAGAAGCGAUAUGGUAGUUUUAAACACAAUAGAGAACACAUAAAAGGAAAAAAAAAAUCAAGAAAACAAGAGGAGAACACCGCGAGCCGAUGGGGUGGUGGGUAAUCAAGACCGGAAGUAGGCAAGGGACUGAGGAGGGCCUGGUGCGCAGGCCCAGCAUCGUGUUCUUGUGAGAGCAUGGAAAGCAGUGAUAACGAAGCGAUCUGUCUGCCUUCAGACCUUCUUGGUGACUUAGUCUGCCGGAGACUGGUGAUGCUGCCGCACACUCCCUCCUCAUUGGCUGGAUCAGAAACCAACAUCUGUGAAGCCUCUUUGUCAUCGAUGUCUUUAUUUCUGCUUUAGUGGGACGAGGAAGCUGGUGCAGAAUCUCUAAGCAACUUGUGUGAAGUCUCAGGAGUCACAGAUGAUGCCGCAGGCGGCGUCCAAGCAGUCUGGUCUCAGAGGAGCGUGAUGUAAGCGUCUGCCCCACGCCUCUCAUUGCUGGUGGGCCGGCCUUUCAUACAACCACUGUCACGACCCACAUGGGACAACGGGACGAGCCUGCCUGGACUUUCCCCUCAUUCUGCGUGGACCCUGUCUAAGGGAUGGAAAUCUGCUGCUGUUACUGAGUGUGCCCUUUCCUCUCAGGGCCUGAGGGGUGACGUCUGUGCAGACAGUUGUGUGGACUGCCCAGGUCCACAGGUGUUAUGUCUGGUGUUGGCUUGAGUAGCUGUCUGACCAAUAAAAUCAAACCCUUUAGCUGUAACAUCAGAUGCACACGAUGCAGGUGGGGCCAUGGAUGUACACAGUGACCCCUGCACAGGCUGUGGAAUCAGAGGCUGUCCUUACAGUUUUCUUUUAGGUAGGGUCUUAUUGUGUAGCCCAGGCUGACUUGUUACUUGCUAUGUAGACCAGGCUGGCCUGGAACUCACAGAGAUCCACCUGCCUCUGCCUCUGGAUUGGGGGGAUUAAAGGAAUGUCCUGGCAGGUGGAGCUACACUCACCUUAUGUAGACAUUUAAAGAUUAGACAGAUAUGUAUGAUUAGUAAACAUUGUGUUUUUACAUAACUAGUUAACCACAGUUGAUUUAAACUGGAGAUGCAGGGCCUAGAAGGCUGUAGUUUUGGUCAGAAGGGCCACAGGUGUUACCAGAUGGCUCCCUCUGGCCAGUCACCAGGCCUGUCACCACUCUGAUUUGUAUCAAUUCUCCCUCAUGGCUGAUACAUUUGCUGAUUUUACCAGGUCCUUGAAGCUAUUUUAUAAUAUUGUUGCCUUAAAUUUUUUAUGCAAUUCUACAAGAGUUCAGAUAUUGCUUAGAAUUCAGGGUUAGAUUUAAAUUUAUUUUAACAUGUGCUAUCUUUUAGUUAGCAUAUAUGGUGUCAUAUUGGACUUUUAGUAUUAUUUUCCUUAUAUAUAUUUUUAAUUACACUGGGUUUUUCUAUGUAGUUCUUCAUGGCCUGACAUGUGCUGUUAGACCAGAAUAACUCCAAACUCAUGGUAAUCCUCCUCUUUCAACUUUGUAAGUGCUGGAUCACAGGUGCAAACCACCACACCUGGCAAUCAUCAUCAUCAUCAUCAUCAUCAUCAUCAUCAUCAUUAAAGUUUCAAGCUGGACUCCAGAUCCUGUUUACAUCUUUAGCUUCAUGAAGCCGUUCCAGGAGCACUGUGGUGGUUUUUAGAACCAGUCUAUAAGGUGUGAAGUUUGCUGUGGCUCGCAGUCCACAGGUGUCAGCCCAUAGUUCCUUGGCUCUAUUUCCUUUGGGUUGCAGUGCGGCAGAUCAUCAUGGUGGGACACAGAGGGAAAGACUGCUCAUCUUAGGACAACCUGGAAGGAAGGAAGAGGCCAGAGCCUCUACAUCCCCAACACAUCCAAUGACGGAUUCCCUUCUAGGUUCUGCCUCCUAAAGCUUCUGCCUUCUCUCAGUAAUGUCCUGGGCAGCAGCCACGCCUUUGAUAGGUGGAUUCUCGGUAGCCAUUCACCAGAGGCUGUAAGGCAGAGCGUGGUGCAUGUUCAGGUUACCAUAGGUCACACAGAUGUUAACAAGUUACAUCUGCUCAAACCGCUGCCUGUGGUGCACAUUUCUUCUGCAAGUGAAGUUGAAUCUUCUGAAGCUCAGAUGGCCUGUGUACUGGCUGGUUUUGUGUCAACUUGACACAGGCUGGAGUUAUCACAGAGAAAGGAGCUUCAGUUGGGGAAGUGCCUCCAUGAGAUCCAGCUGUGGGGCAUUUUCUCAAUUAGGGAUCAAGGGGAGAGGACCCCUUGUGGGUGGUGCCUUCUCUGGGCUGUAUUCUUGGGUUCUAUAAGAAAGCAGGCUGAACAAGCCAGGGGAAGCAAGCCAGUAAGAAACAUCCCUCCAUGGCCUCUGCAUCAGCUCCUGCUUCCUAACCUGCUUUAGUUCCAGUCCUGACUUCCUUUGGUGAUGAACAGCAGUGUGGAAGUGUAAGCUGAACAAACCCUCUCCUUCCCAACUUCUUGGUCGUGACGUUUGUGCAGGAACAGAAACCCUGACUAAGACAGCAUGUCUGUGCUCGCUCUGCUGUCUAUGUGCCUCUGGCUUUUCUAAAAUGUUAC